UACGUAGGGUGCAAGCGUUAUCCGGAAUUUAUUGGGCGUAAAGAGCUCGUAGGCGGUUUGUCGCGUCUGCCGUGAAAGUCCGGGGCUCAACUCCGGAUCUGCGGUGGGUACGGGCAGACUAGAGUGAUGUAGGGGAGACUGGAAUUCCUGGUGUAGCGGUGAAAUGCGCAGAUAUCAGGAGGAACACCGAUGGCGAAGGCAGGCUCUGGGCGAUUACCUGACGCUGAGGCGCGAAAGCUAGGGGAGCGAACAGG
rnacentral:rRNA from 1 species